UCCACGGGCGGUUAGGUCGCAGCGGGUUCUCUGUCUGGGGUCUUCGAAAGGACGAUGCACCACGUCGGAGACCGGAUGGUGCGUGCAAGUCGCAAGGAAUUUCGAGGAUUUGUGCAGAGAGAGAGAGAGAGAAAGAGACGGUUUUACGGUUGCUUGGCAACGAGGCCAGGCACCUAGCCAGACGAAGCAGCCAGCCAACGGCAACCGGAGGCGCCUACCACGGGUCCGACGAUCCGUUGAGGUCAGAGCCCCUCUUACAAAGAAGGGCCCCUCCCUUGGCGCCCUCGGACCGUUUAUAUAGGGUGUCCUACUCCCGAGUGUCUACAUACGGCGCGACCGUUCGUCGCUUUUCGAAAAUCGCGAUCAGCUGAUCAACACCGUGGAUGAGAGAUGGGAAAUUUAACUACUUAUCCCCACCCCGAAUCUCACCGCCUGCUAUUGUGUCACGACUUACCUCUAAUAGCAGUAAUUAGUAUUUCGUCGUCGAUAAUGCGCAGUUGCCCGAAAGAACCGUUGUUCUAAUCACUUCGAAGAUCUGCAGAUAAUUAGCACAAAGGAAUUUCAACGCACGUGCUUGCUGCGAAGGCGUUUCACGGAUACUCUGUGCUCCUCGUGAACGCUCGGCUUAAUCUUCGCGACAUCCCAGAGGAGACUCGUUCUCUUACCAGCGAUUCAAAUUAGGACAACUGCACCUCGCCGCGGGCGGCUUAGCUUUCCGGUUUUCCUUGAUGCAGGCAUCGUUCGUCGAUGAUGGACGGGCGUUUGUUGGUCUCCUGUACCAGGCGGAUUUCU